GAAAAAGCAACAGCUAGCGUCGGCAUUAAUUCUUUAUCUAUGUCAUGAACUAUUAAGAUAGAUAGCUUUCGCCUUUGAGUUAAAGCAUCUCUCUCUCUCUAGAUAUAUACAUGUACAUGUGUGUGUAUAUGGAAACAAAACAUGUAAGGUUUUUAGGAGCAUAGGAGCCCAAAGUUGCCGCACCUCACCAUCACCAUCACCAUCAAAUCAACCUUCUGAUCAUCAACAUGCAGCAGCCUCUGCUCACCAUCAUCUCUAAUUUAUAAUGGCACGCAGGGGCAGUGGGAGGAGAUUGAUCAGAUGGAAAGAGCAACACCCCUGCGAAACUUAAAUCUUAUCUAUAUCUCUUUUUGACAUGCAAAUGUGUGUGUACUAUGUAGAUUUAUGUCGAUUGUUAGUCCAAGAAAAAGGAAAAGGAAACCCAAGAAAUAAGAGUGCGCAGAGACACCAGUGCAAUCGUAGGGCAGUGAAUAAUGCAAGGAUUUGGCAGAGAAAGAUAACUGCACAUUUCUCUGUCAUGAAAUUAAUAGACAAACAUAAGUGAUAUUAAAAACUUUUGUCUUUCUCUGCGUCUUUUUGUGACUCUGCCUUGUUAAUUGCUAAGAAAGAGUUUUGCCUAAAACAUGUAUAUCAACUAUCUUAAUUAUUUCGUUAA